UUAGUGGCGGACGGGUGAGUAACGCGUGGAAAACCUGCCGUAUACUGGGGGAUAACACUUAGAAAUAGGUGCUAAAACCGCAUAAGCGCACAGCUUCGCAUGAAGCGGUGUGAAAAACUCCGGUGGUGUAAGAUGGACCCGCGUCUGAUUAGCCAGUUGGCAGGGUAACGGCCUACCAAAGCGACGAUCAGUAGCCGGCCUGAGAGGGCGGACGGCCACAUUGGGACUGAGACACGGCCCAAACUCCUACGGGAGGCAGCAG
rnacentral:rRNA from 1 species